UACGAAGGGGGCGAGCGUUGUUCGGAUUUACUGGGCGUAAAGGGCGCGUAGGCGGCCUUGUCAGUCAGGCGUGAAAGCCCCGGGCUCAACCUGGGAACGGCGCUUGGGACGGGGAGGCUGGAGUUCGGGAGAGGAGAGUGGAAUUCCCAGUGUAGAGGUGAAAUUCGUAGAUAUUGGGAAGAACACCGGUGGCGAAGGCGGCUCUCUGGACCGACACUGACGCUGAGGCGCGAAAGCGUGGGGAGCAAACAGG
rnacentral:rRNA from 1 species